rnacentral:lncRNA from 1 species
AUUCCUCAACAGAGAGUGGGUGGCAGCCUCGUACCAUACCUUGCAUUGCUGGGAGGGUCAUACUGCAAAACCCAGUUGACUUCAGGAAUAUCAAUUCCCCGGGCCAUCACAUCAGUGCACACUAAAAUCCCACUAGGAAAUGAGAAAAAAGCAUUCUGAGUAAGGAGGCCACCAUCUUCAUCACCAUCAAACAGCCUACUGAUCUCGAUGACAGUGACACACAGGUGCUGGAGCUUCUCACAGAAGCAAAUGUUUAAGAUCAACACAUUUAUCUCUGGAGAAAAGGGGAAAAGAACCAACCAGUCCAAAGAACAUAUGCAUCUGUCCCUACGCUGCCUUCUGACCACAGGACAAAACCCCACUGUGGCGGACUCCAUGGGUGGCUGAUAAACACUAUUCCCAACCACUUCUUGCUUCACUGGCCACUACUACAGAGGCAGAAAAGCUGCGCACUCAUUUUCUCUGCUGCUCUUGAAGUGAGGGGCCACCACGUGACCCACUUUUGGCCCCUAAGAUGAAUUCACAGCUGAAG